CAGUCGCCGCGGGAAUACAGAGGGUGCGAGCGUUAAUCGGAUUUACUGGGCGUAAAGCGUGCGUAGGCGGCUUUUUAAGUCGGAUGUGAAAUCCCUGAGCUUAACUUAGGAAUUGCAUUCGAUACUGGGAAGCUAGAGUAUGGGAGAGGAUGGUAGAAUUCCAGGUGUAGCGGUGAAAUGCGUAGAGAUCUGGAGGAAUACCGAUGGCGAAGGCAGCCAUCUGGCCUAAUACUGACGCUGAGGUACGAAAGCAUGGGGAGCAAACAGGAUUAGAUACCCGAGUAGUCCUUGUCUCUUAUAA
rnacentral:rRNA from 1 species